rfam:Octopus bimaculoides Scaffold106420_contig_10, whole genome shotgun sequence.
CAAACGGCCCUUUUAAGGGCCACUUC